UACAGAGGUCUCAAGCGUUGUUCGGAUUCAUUGGGCGUAAAGGGUGCGUAGGCGGCGCGGUAAGUCGGGUGUGAAAUCUCGGAGCUUAACUCCGAAACUGCAUUCGAUACUGCCGUGCUUGAGGACUGGAGAGGAGACUGGAAUUUACGGUGUAGCGGUGAAAUGUGUAGAGAUCGGGAGGAACACCGGUGGCGAAGGCGGGUCUCUGGGCAACUCCUGACGCUGAGGCGCGAAAGCGUGGGGAGCAAACGGG
rnacentral:rRNA from 1 species